rnacentral:sRNA from 1 species
UGCGGAGGGAUCAUUACACAAAUAUGAAGGCGGGCUGGAACCUCUCGGGGUUACAGCCUUGCUGAAUUAUUCACCCUUGUCUUUUGCGUACUUCUUGUUUCCUUGGUGGGUUCGCCCACCACUAGGACAAACAUAAACCUUUUGUAAUUGCAAUCAGCGUCAGUAACAAAUUAAUAAUUACAACUUUCAACAACGGAUCUCUUGGUUCUGGCAUCGAUGAAGAACGCAGCGAAAUGCGAUAAGUAGUGUGAAUUGCAGAAUUCAGUGAAUCAUCGAAUCUUUGAACGCACAUUGCGCCCUUUGGUAUUCCAAAGGGCAUGCCUGUUCGAGCGUCAUUUGUACCCUCAAGCUUUGCUUGGUGUUGGGCGUCUUGUCUCUAGCUUUGCUGGAGACUCGCCUUAAAGUAAUUGGCAGCCGGCCUACUGGUUUCGGAGCGCAGCACAAGUCGCACUCUCUAUCAGCAAAGGUCUAGCAUCCAUUAAGCCUUUUUUUCAACUUUUGACCUCGGAUCAGGUAGGGAUACCCGCUGAACUUAA